AAACCAAUCAGAGACACUACUGGACGUGAACAUUCUGGCCACUGGUCCAACAUCAGGUGGUACUGUCUCAGUCAAGACCAGAUGCUAAGCUAACAGCUGACAUGUUAGCAGCUGUGGAAUAAACACACUUCAUCUCACUGGACAUGUGACACACCUGUUCCCACAAAGACUGGAGACUUCUGAAACGUAUCUGUCAGACCUUCCUGCUAACUUCAGCAGCCUCUCAGCAAACUUCAUCAGCCGCCGCUCAGCUAACUUCAGCAGCUGCCAAGCUAACUUCAUCAGCCUCUCAGCUAACUUCAGCAGGUGCCAAGCUAACUUCAGCAGCCUCUCAGCUAACUUCAGCAGCCGCUAACUUCAGCAGCCUCUCAGCUAACUUCAGCAGCCGCUAACUUCAGCAGCCUCUCAGCUAACUUCAGCCGCCGCUGCUCAGCUAAAUUCUGCAGUCACCCAGCAAACUUCAGCAGCCUCUUAGCUAACUUCAUCAGUCGCAGCUCAGCUAACUUCAGCAGCCCCUCAGCUAACUACAGCAGCUCACUGUGUGUGGUUGUAGCUACAGACUGGAUCAUCUGCAGGACCAGUAAGAGGGGAUGACACCAGCCGCCUGUCAGCUGACUUCAGACUAUUUUCUGAGGUGAGGUCACAUGUUGUCUGAUAGGCAGUCUGAGCUCAACGUGGUCGUCAACUCCUGAGACUCCACCACAGAGCUGUUCUUCCUCUGGACCGACACCAGAGGCCUCUGAUCACCACGACUGGGACAUGAUAUCGUGGACUUCUCUUCAGGGCCGGGUGCUGAAGGACAUCCUGCUGUCGUCUCGUCUCUCUGACUCCUUCAACAAGAUGCAUUCUGGGAAAUGUGUGACAACCCAGCAGCUGACAGGAAUACGAGACAAAUAGAGGGAGGAAACCUCAGGCGGCUGGAUGGCGUCCAGGUCUGCACACCUGACAGGUGCUCACAUCUUUACAGCCUCCAGCCGUCCUCCAACAACAGAACAUCGUUUAAACAAGCUCCACCACCACAAAGACUGAUGUGACAUCAUUAAUCACAGAAAAACACACUCAAACUGUCAGCGCCGACAUGUUCUCCUUCUCUUCCUGUUUCCAUCAGUCUGCUCCAACAUAACAUCAGCUCACAUAAACAAACAGACGGCUGUGCAUCAGUGUUCGCUGAACAUUUGCAGCUAAUUGUACCGCUGCCUCGAGGAAAACUCAAUUAAGUUCGGCUGGAGGAUGUCCAUUAAUUUAAUUCCACGCACAGGAUAACCGGACACCUCCGACGUGACUGUCUGAACAUCAUUCAGAGCAAAAUAACCAGCUGAGAUAUACAUCUGCCUGCUCACGGCUCACCGGCAACACAACAGCAACACAACACAACAAUAUCAGUGUAUUGACUGAGUUCCAGGUAUUAGUCUGGACCUUACCAGGAAACAGACUCUGUUCAGUCAGCUCACUUCAUGUGUCUGGAUACAAACGAACCACUGAGACAAACAGACACGUGUGUUCACUGAAAGACACAAAGACUUUCAUGUAGAACAUUUGCUGAACUUACCAGAAGGUUUAAUGUUUAAGAUGUGUCUGUUUCAGUUUCUCCUCAUGAAACAACUCUUACAUCACUACAUGUGUUUAGUUAGUCUGGUGAUGCUGAGGUCGCUGCUUCACUCUGUAAUAUUCUAAAUGUUUAAGGUUUCUGUGAUUACAGGUAACAGUGCCGACACAGACAGACACACUGUUCUGUUGAAGCUGGAGGUUUUCACACGUUUCUGUUGUCUCUGCUGUCAAAAGUCUCACCAGAACAACAACAGCUUGGUUUCAGAUGGAAAUGCCGGCUGGCUCGGAGCGGCCCGGUGUGUUUACAGAGAGGAGCUGAAGGCGGAAAGCUUUCUGCUCUGCUGGCUCUUGAAGUCCAAGACGAGGAGUUUGUGUCUGAACACAGGAGGCUGUUUGCUGUGUGGAGAACAGAGCAGCCACCAUUUAAUCACCUCAUCCAGCAGCCAGCAGGACCGUCUCAUUCAUGCAUCUGGGCUGACAGUGGAGCGUGUUGGCCGGAUUGUCAGCCGGUACACCUGAGGACUCACCUGUCACAGGCUGAUAUAUGGUUAAAGACAAACACUCUGACUGGACGUCACCCCGAAGUCUUUGUUUAUACCUUUCUCUUUCUUGUGUUGUCAGUAAAUCUGUGAACUCAGAGGAUUUAUGGUCCUGCUGAAGUUUAUUCAAGCAUCCAGGCCAGAGAACAAGAACCUGAGUGGACCGAACCACACUCACAACACACACACACACACACACACACACACACACACACACACACACACACACACACACACUGUGAGGGAAUGUAACUAGCACAUUUACUUUGUCUGUCCUGAGGUUACCUGUACAGGUGUAUCAGCAGCAGACAGCAGGAGGUUCUGAUCCAGCAGUUUGUCUGCCAGUGAUUGUUGGACCUGUGUGAUAUACUUCUGUUCCUCGGCUCAGCCGGACAAUUAAAGGUUGACUUCAGAGCCAAUCAGCACUCGGUGUCUCGCCCUGUCUCGUUUCGUGCAUGUAGAAGCUGUUGUUGUGUCGGCUCCUGCUGUAAUGAUGCUGCUGCGCUCCAACUGUUGGAGAGGCCAAACUAAAGGUUACAGCUGUUAGCAGAGAGGCCGAGGGGUGAGGAUGUUUAGUCCACAGCAAGAGAGCCAGACGAGCCACGACACUGUGGAAGAGUUUGUUCACUCCUGACACACCGACACUUGAUCAGUGAGAUGUAAACGUUGGACCUGCUGAUGUGGUUUUAUCUGAAAUGGUCUGCAGGCUCGUGGAGUCCUGUGGUCGACAGAGGAAGUCAGUAGCAGCUAACUUCAUCUGUUACGUAUGUUACGUAGCUUAGACUUCUCUCACUUCACGAAGAUAUGCUGGUUUUGUAAUUACAACUUCAGACGAACCAGCCUGCUAUGAUAGUCUGAUAUUCAGUCAGUCUUUUCAUUAAAGGUCCUGAAACCCUCCACCAGCCUCUGACGGGGGCUGCUGGGUCCUGGACUCACAUUCUGCCAAAGUUAGAAAAGUUCUGGUCACAUGACAGAUUUCUGAGCUUGUGUUUGUUUUGUUGCUGGUGUAAAGUGGGCGGGACUCAAUCUAUGCACCAAUCAGAUCUCCUCAGACCAUGUCCAUACAGUCCUGCUGAGAGUCAGACUGUUGGACUCUGGAUUCAGACUGGUUCUGCUGCAGUCUUUGGCCUCAGUGUUUCAGAACAUGUUUGUUUGGGCCUGAAUGCCAGCGCUCCGUCAGCCGUGGCCUCUUCUCCUGCAUCAGCACCACCACCCCGCAGCUCUCUGUGAGGCGCUGAUCUGACAGAUCCACCAGGACUUUGGCAGGAGACGGGCCGGUGCUGGCCCGGCUUCCUGUUACAUCACAUUUACAGCCUCAGAUCCUGAACAACCCACACAGUGUUACAAAGAGCUUCACAAGAGGAAAUCAGAGACGUCAGGUUGUGACUGUGCUGAUAGUAAAGACAACACACAUGUUCUGAGAGCGUCCUGAGAUCAGCUGACGUCUGUUUAUGUCUCUGAGACGCUUUGACUGACGGAGGAACUGACUGACGGAGGAGCUGAGCUGGUUAAAGCUGCUUGAUACACCAUCAUUUAUCCUCCACCCUACAGCAUCCACCCUCCACUGUGCUCAUUUUACCAUUAAACAUAAACUCUGUGGGCAGUCAGCAGAUAUUCCCUCACCGGUCGAUGACACUCCACUCUGAUCUCUCCAAGCACAUAACCCACUCCGGCUCUGGUCUGUGGUGCGGUCCACAGUGAUAAUAGAGAUUCUGUGCUCUAUACUGGACCUGAACAUGUGAUGUAUGGAACAGAACCUUUAUCAUUAUUAAUCCCUCCACAAUA